GUCGAGAAUAAUUCACAAUGGGGGAAACCCUGAUGGUGCAACGCCGCGUGGAGGAUGAAGGUCUUCGGAUUGUAAACUCCUGUCAUCUGGGAGUAAGACCUGACGGUGAAUAGCCGGCAGGGUUGAUAGUACCAGAAGAGGAAGGGACGGCUAACUUCGUGCCAGCAGCCGCGGUAAUACGAAGGUCCCAAGCGUUGUUCGGAAUCACUGGGCGUAAAGGGAGCGUAGGCGGCGUGGUAAGUCAGAUGUGAAAUCCCGGGGCUCAACACCGGAACUGCAUCCGAUAAUGCCAUGCUUGAGGGCUGGAGAGGUAACUGGAAUUCUCGGUGUAGCAGUGAAAUGCGUGGAUAUCGAGAGGAACACUCGUGGCGAAGGCGAGUUACUGGACAGCAUCUGACGCGGAGGCACGAAGGCCAGGGGAGCGAAAGGGAUUAGAAACCCUAGUAGUCC
rnacentral:rRNA from 1 species